UAGGGAAUAUUGGACAAUGGGGGGAACCCUGAUCCAGCCAUGCCGCGUGGAGGAAGACUGCCCUCUGGGUUGUAAACUCCUUUUAUAUGGGAAGAACCGUCCUCAUUGAUGAGUGACCUGACGGUACCAUAGGAAUAAGCACCGGCUAACUCCGUGCCAGCAGCCGCGGUAAUACGGAGGGUGCAAGCGUUAUCCGGAUUCACUGGGUUUAAAGGGUGCGUAGGCGGAUAUGUAAGUCAGUGGUGAAAUCAACGGGCUCAACCUGUUAACUGCCAUUGAUACUGUGUAUCUUGAAUAUGAGAGAGGUCGGCGCAAUGUUGCAUGUAGCGGUGAAAUGCUUAGAUAUGCUACGGAACACCGAUUGCGAAGGCAGCUUACUAUUUCGUAAUUGACGCUGAGGCACGAAAGCGUGGGUAGCGAACA
rnacentral:rRNA from 1 species